CAGUCGCCACGGGAAUACGAGGGGGGCAAGCGUUGUUCGGAAUUAUUGGGCGUAAAGGGUGCGUAGGCGGCCAGGCAAGUCUUGUGUGAAAUCGAUGGGCUCAACCCAUCGUCUGCACGGGAAACUGCAGGGCUUGAGGAUGGGAGGGGUGAGUGGAAUUUCCGGUGUAGCGGUGAAAUGCGUAGAUAUCGGAAGGAACACCUGUUGCGAAAGCGGCUCACUGGACCAUUACUGACGCUGAUGCACGAAAGCUAGGGGAGCAAACAGGAUUAGAUACCCGGGUAGUCCCUGUCUCUUAUAC
rnacentral:rRNA from 1 species